rnacentral:rRNA from 1 species
CCUACGGGUGGCUGCAGUGGGGAAUAUUGGACAAUGGGCGAAAGCCUGAUCCAGCCAUGCCGCGUGUGUGAAGAAGGCCUUCGGGUUGUAAAGCACUUUCAGUGGGGAAGAAAGCCUUGGGGCUAAUACCCUCGAGGAAGGACAUCACCCACAGAAGAAGCACCGGCUAACUCCGUGCCAGCAGCCGCGGUAAUACGGAGGGUGCGAGCGUUAAUCGGAAUUACUGGGCGUAAAGCGCGCGUAGGCGGUCUGAUAAGCCGGUUGUGAAAGCCCCGGGCUCAACCUGGGAACGGCAUCCGGAACUGUCAGGCUAGAGUGCAGGAGAGGAAGGUAGAAUUCCCGGUGUAGCGGUGAAAUGCGGAGAGAUCGGGAGGAAUACCAGUGGCGAAGGCGGCCUUCUGGACUGACACUGACGCUGAGGUGCGAAAGCGUGGGUAGCAAACAGGAUUAGAUACCUUGUAGUC